AACGAACGCUGGCGGCAUGCCUAACGCAUGCAAGUCGAACGAGACCUUCGGAUCUAGUGGCGCACGGGUGCGUAACGCGUGGGAACCUGCCCUUAGGUUCGGAAUAACUCCCCGAAAGGGGUGCUAAUACCGGAUAAUGUCUUCGGACCAAAGAUUUAUCGCCUUUGGAUGGGCCCGCGUUGGAUUAGCUAGUUGGUAGGGUAAAAGCCUACCAAGGCGACGAUCCAUAGCUGGUCUGAGAGGAUGAUCAGCCACACUGGGACUGAGACACGGCCCAGACUCCUACGGGAGGCAGCAGUGGGGAAUAUUGGACAAUGGGCGAAAGCCUGAUCCAGCAAUGCCGCGUGAGUGAUGAAGGCCUUAGGGUUGUAAAGCUCUUUUACCCGGGAUGAUAAUGACAGUACCGGGAGAAUAAGCUCCGGCUAACUCCGUG
rnacentral:rRNA from 1 species